rnacentral:rRNA from 1 species
CACGUAGGCGGAUUGUUAAGUCAGGGGUGAAAUCCUGGAGCUCAACUCCAGAACUGCCUUUGAUACUGACGAUCUCGAGUUCGGGAGAGGUGAGUGGAACUGCGAGUGUAGAGGUGAAAUUCGUAGAUAUUCGCAAGAACACCAGUGGCGAAGGCGGCUCACUGGCCCGAUACUGACGCUGAGGUGCGAAAGCGUGGGAGCAAACA